rnacentral:misc_RNA from 1 species
ACUGGACAUCGAUCCACUUUUCGAUUGGUGUCUCAGCUGGCAACCGUGACUAAUGAUUAUUGGCAACACGAUCCGAGGGUCUCACUCCGAAGGACGAAUACGGCAGCCUAGUGAUGUUAGUGACGUUAGUGACGUUAGUGACGUUCAGUGGCGUGACAAGAUGUCAAAUCAGAGAAACAUGUGUCACUGACACAGAUCCGGGUCGUGGCCGACCGUGGCCGACCGUGGCCGACGAAAAGCUUUCUAAUCAAUCGGCACAUUCCAUCAGAUUGAGACCUGCAGAGACUGUAUUGCUUCGUCCAGAACCCGGAUAACGGCAUGCGCCCUGGAUAAAAAGACAAGCACCAUGAGUCGGAUAUGUCGGAGGUCGGAGGUCGGAUAUUGACAUGACAUUGGUUCAUUGGCAUUGGCUCAUUGGCUCAUUGGCUCGGCUCGCUCUGACAGCCAGCCUCUCUACAGUGCUCUGACACCUUCCCAACGUCCAGCCUUACAAUGCCAUCAGAUAAGCCCAAGACGACCAAACGAGUAUCGCAGCCGGUUUUCGUUGGUUUUUUCUUUCGCAGACGCACCCCGGCCUCCUGAACAGUUGCAUCAAAGCCCGCGCCCGCAACGCCCGUCCCUUGGUUGGCUGCAUUGACUCGUGCCAAGAUCCUACCAAGGAGGAGCUACUGUACGUGCACAAGUAGUGCAUGUUCAGCCGUGCAAUUGAAGAGCAACGUGG